rnacentral:rRNA from 1 species
UACAGAGGGUGCAAGCGUUGUUCGGAAUUACUGGGCGUAAAGCGUGUGUAGGCGGCCACGUAAGUCGGAUGUGAAAGCCCCAGGCUCAACCUGGGAAGUGCACUCGAUACUGCGUGGCUUGAGUAUCGGAGAGGUUGGUGGAAUUCUCGGUGUAGAGGUGAAAUUCGUAGAUAUCGAGAGGAACACCGGUGGCGAAGGCGGCCAACUGGACGAAUACUGACGCUGAGACACGAAAGCGUGGGGAGCAAACAGG